rnacentral:rRNA from 1 species
GACGAACGCUGGCGGCGUGCCUAAUACAUGCAAGUAGAACGCUGAAGGAGGAGCUUGCUUCUCUGGAUGAGUUGCGAACGGGUGAGUAACGCGUAGGUAACCUGCCUGGUAGCGGGGGAUAACUAUUGGAAACGAUAGCUAAUACCGCAUAAGAGUAGAUGUCGCAUGACAUUUGCUUAAAAGGUGCAAUUGCAUCACUACCAGAUGGACCUGCGUUGUAUUAGCUAGUUGGUGAGGUAACGGCUCACCAAGGCAACGAUACAUAGCCGACCUGAGAGGGUGAUCGGCCACACUGGGACUGAGACACGGCCCAGACUCCUACGGGAGGCAGCAGUAGGGAAUCUUCGGCAAUGGACGGAAGUCUGACCGAGCAACGCCGCGUGAGUGAAGAAGGUUUUCGGAUCGUAAAGCUCGGUUGUAAGAGAAGAACGAGUGUGAGAGUGGAAAGUUCACACUGUGACGGUAUCUUACCAGAAAGGGACGGCUAACUACGUG